UACGUAGGGGGCUAGCGUUGUCCGGAUUUAUUGGGCGUAAAGAGCUUGUAGGCGGUGUGUCGCGUCGGCCGUGAAAACCUGCAGCUUAACUGUGGGCUUGCGGUCGAUACGGGCAUCACUGGAGUUCGGCAGGGGAGACUAGAAUUCCUGGUGUAGCGGUGAAAUGCGCAGAUAUCAGGAGGAACACCGGUGGCGAAGGCGGGUCUCUGGGCCGAUACUGACGCUGAGGAGCGAAAGCGUGGGGAGCGAACAGG
rnacentral:rRNA from 1 species